rnacentral:rRNA from 1 species
GUCCUAGCUGUAAACGAUGGGUACUGGGUAAGGGAGGUCCAAUGCCUUCCUUGCCGGAACAAAUGCGUUAAGUACCCCGCCUGGGGAGUAUGGUCGCAAGGCUAAAACUCAAAGGAAUUGACGGGGGCUCACACAAGCGGUGGAGCAUGUGGUUUAAUUCGAAGCAACGCGAAGAACCUUACCCGGGUUUGAAAUGUACGGAUUAGGAUGCUGAAAGGUGUCUGACGCCGCAAGGUGGAACGUACACAGGUGUUGCAUGGCUGUCGU